GAUGAACGCUAGCGGCAGGCCUAAUACAUGCAAGUCGAGGGGUAUGGGUUGCUUGCAACCCAGAGACCGGCGCACGGGUGCGUAACGCGUAUGCAAUCUACCUUAAUCAGGGGGAUAGCCCGGAGAAAUCCGGAUUAACACCGCAUAACAUUGAGUUGUGGCAUCACAGUUCAAUCAAAUAUUUAUAGGAUUAAGAUGAGCAUGCGUGACAUUAGUUAGUUGGUGAGGUAACGGCUCACCAAGACCACGAUGUCUAGGGGAUCUGAGAGGAUGACCCCCCACACUGGUAAUGAGACACGGACCAGACUCAUACGGGAGGCAGCAGUAAGGAAUAUUGGUCAAUGGGCGCAAGCCUGAACCAGCCAUGCCGCGUGCAGGAAGACGGCCCUAUGGGUUGUAAACUGCUUUUGUACCGGAAUAAACCUUCUCUUGCGAGAGAAGCUGAACGUACGGUAAGAAUAAGGAUCGGCUAACUCCGUG
rnacentral:rRNA from 1 species